rnacentral:rRNA from 1 species
UACGAAGGGUGCAAACGUUGCUCGGAAUUAUUGGGCGUAAAGCGCACGUAGGCGGCUUUGCAAGUCGGAUGUGAAAUCCCUCGGCUUAACCAAGGAAGUGCAUCCGAAACUGCAGAGCUUGAGUACUUAAGAGGAUCGCGGAAUUCCCGGUGUAGAGGUGAAAUUCGUAGACAUCGGGAGGAACACCAGUGGCGAAGGCGGCGAUCUGGGAAGAUACUGACGCUGAGGUGCGAAAGCGUGGGGAGCAAACAGG